rnacentral:lncRNA from 1 species
AACUGAACUGACUUUAUUGAUAGAAUAAGGUGAAAAGUACAUAUCUUACAAUGAUAGCGAGGCCAAAGGCACCCUUGGUGCUGCAACAAUAUCUACAUUAUUUAUGAGACAUAGUGGGGCCUCGAAACUACUAAGUACUUCUACAGCGUAGCGGAACAUAGCGGCAACUCCAUACAUAGGGACACUGCUGUGGACACUUCCUAGUAUGCAUCAUCACGACCUCCGUCCUCGGCUUCUCCUGCAUCUCGCAUGAUACGCCAUGUGAGUACCUGGAAUGUACUCGCAAGCUCAUAAUAACCAACUAAUGCAACAAACAAUAGCAUGGCAACAAAUUAGGAAUAAAACCACUUGGCUUUAUAAUAUCC